UAAUGUCAACUGCCAGACUGCCCAGGCGUGAUUUGUUCUGACUGCCAUUUAAGCGAGUUAAAAAUACAUUUGAUCCACAUUCAGCCAAGACUGCAUACCUCGCAACACUUGGAGGUUGCAACCCCGGGGAUGUUGUAAGGCGAAUGCUGCGCCACAUCAUGGAUGACGAAUUCGCACAGCAAUUCAACUGGCUGGGGCGAGGGGGGAGAAAGAAGGCUUUUUCAGUCUUUAAGAUCACUGCUGUAAUACGAGGUGAUGAUACAGUGUCUAGGGACAGCAGCAGCAGCAGCAGCAUGGAUGAUGACGACUUUUAAGUUAUUUAUUUAUUUGUUUGUUUGUUUGUAUUGUUUAUAAUAAAUUAUAUUGUUACCUGUAGGUUAUAACUGCUGUCUGUUUUAAUUCCUUAUGACAUUUAAGCUAUGAAUGGACUUCUGUAAGAUCCUAGAAGCUCAAAUAUCAUGCUUAUAACUAUAAAAAGGAAAAAACAUGGCUAAAGUUGGCAAUUGGUUAUAAGCCAACGUUGGCAAUUGGUCAUAAGCCAACCGAGUUAAUGACUGUCAAAAAUGACGUUGGCCCAAAGUCAUGCCAACGGCUGCUAUACCGUUGGGCCAACAUGUCCCCGACGGCCAAAGUGACGUUGGCCCAUUGUUGGCGGGUGACGUAAGGCCAACGUCUCUGACGCAGUU